rnacentral:rRNA from 1 species
CAAUAGCGUAUAUUAAAGUUGUUGCAGUUAAAAAGCUCGUAGUUGGAUUUCGGGACGGGCCAGUUGGUCCGCCGCAAGGUGUGUUACUGACUGGUCUGUUCUUCUUCGCAAAGACUGCGUGUGCUCUUCGUUGAGUGUGCGUAGGAUUUACGACGUUUACUUUGAAAAAAUUAGAGUGUUCAAAGCAGGCUAUCGCUUGAAUACAUGAGCAUGGAAUAAUGGAAUAGGACUUUGGUCCUAUUUUGUUGGUUUCUAGGACCGAGGUAAUGAUUAAGAGGGACAAUUGGGGGCAUCCGUAUUUCGUUGUCAGAGGUGAAAUUCUUGGAUUUACGAAAGACGAACAACUGCGAAAGCACUUGCCAAGAGUGUUUUCAUUAA